rnacentral:tRNA from 1 species
AGGGGUAAAGCUCAGUGGUAGAGCACAUGCCUAGCAUGCACAUGGUCCCAGGUUCAAUCCCCAGUACCUCUA